GAUUUUUUAUUUUCUGUAAAUUUCCAUAUAAAAUUCAAAAAAUUGAAAUCAUUUUCACUUACAUAGCUUUCGAGAAAUUGGCUGUAAGAAAUCAAAAUUUUUUUAAAU